AGCAGCCGCGGUAAUCCCAGCUCCAAUAGCGUAUAUUAAAGUUGUUGCAGUUAAAAAGCUCGUAGUUGAAUUUCGGGGUUCUACCGUUGGUCGGGCUUUGUCUGUACUGGCGUGUAGAAUUUCUACCUUCUGGGGAACCAUCAUGUUAUUAAUUUAACGUGGUGGGAAACCAGGACCUUUACCUUGAAAAAAUUAGAGUGUUCAAAGCAGGCUUAUGUCUGAAUACAUUAGCAUGGAAUAAUAAAAUAGGACGGUGGUCCUGUUUUGUUGGUUUCUGAAUCACCGUAAUGAUUAAUAGGGAUAGUUGGGGGCAUUAGUAUUCAAUUGUCAGAGGUGAAAUUCUUGGAUUUAU
rnacentral:rRNA from 1 species